rnacentral:rRNA from 1 species
AUACGUAGGGAGCAAGCGUUAUCCGGAAUUACUGGGUGUAAAGGGCGCGCAGGCGGGCGGACAAGUCAGGUGUGAAAUGCAGGGGCUCAACCCUUGAGGUGCACUUGAAACUGUACGUCUUGAGUGAUGGAGAGGCAGACGGAAUUCCCGGUGGAGCGGUGAAAUGCGUAGGUAUCGGGAGGAACACCAGUGGCGAAGGCGGUCUGCUGGACAUCAACUGACGCUGAGGCGCGAAAGCGUGGGGAGCAAACAGGAUUAGAUACCCUGGUAGUCCACGCCGUAAACGAUGGAUACUAGGUGUAGGGGGUAUCGACCCCCUCUGUGCCGACGUUAACACAUUAAGUAUUCCACCUGGGGAGUACGGCCGCAAGGCUGAAACUCAAAGGAAUUGACGGGG